ACGCGCUGGCGGGAUUCGGUGAGAUUCCGAACCGGCGGUGAUCCGACGCGCAAGCAUCGGUAAGCCCGCGACCCGGACGUCAGACCAUGACGGCCGGUGGACCUGGUGAGACUCCGGGGCCGACGGUUGGUCAGGCGAAAGCCCGGCCAGACAGUCCGGAUGGGAGACAGCGCGC
rnacentral:ncRNA from 2 species